rnacentral:rRNA from 1 species
AGGACGAACGCUGGCGGCGUGCUUAACACAUGCAAGUCGAGCGGAAAGGCCCUUCGGGGUACUCGAGCGGCGAACGGGUGAGUAACACGUGAGCAACCUGCCCCUGGCUCUGGGAUAGCCUCCGGAAACGGGGAUUAAUACCGGACAUGACCUGCUGCCGCAUGGUGGCGGGUGGAAAGUUUUUCGGCCAGGGUGGGGCUCGCGGCCUAUCAGCUUGUUGGGGGGGUGACGGCCCACCAAGGCGACGACGGGUAGCCGGCCUGAGAGGGCGACCGGCCACACUGGGACUGAGACACGGCCCAGACUCCUACGGGAGGCAGCAGUGGGAAUAUUGCGCAAUGGGCGGAAGCCUGACGCAGCGACGCCGCGUACGGGAUGAAGGCCUUCGGGUUGUAAACCGCUUUCACCAGGGGCGAAGCGAGAGUGACGGUACCGUGGGGAAGAAGCGCCGGCUAACUACGUGCUAGCAGCCGC